UGACUUACCUGCUGCACAUCGAAAGACUUCCUUACAGCUGAGAUUUUGAUUUAUUACUAGCUUUAUUGGUAAUUUGUUUAGGUAAAAUGUUACCUACUAAUACAACACAUCAGACAAAAUGGUAUUUUCUGAAUGUUUUGAAUUAGUCUCGUUACCUUUUAAUCUGUAAAUGUUUAGCCGUUAAAUGAAUGGGUAUGGGUCACACCGUAAGCCCCCCCAAAAAGUUGAAUUUACUUUACAAAUGUUAUUACUCACUUAAUAUCUCGAUUAAACAUUUUAUUUUAACUUAGUACAUGAAAUGGAGGUGGAAAAAAUCUGUUUUAAACAAACACCAACCUAUGGAGUGAUCGGGUGGCUAAGUUAGCUUACACGUAACUAGCAGGUAAAAAAUGUCCAUCAAACUGUUUCAAAUAAUAUUUUUCACUGCGCAAACAACGAUUUGGGAAAUAUAUUAGCUUAAUUACCUUAGAAGUGACACUGAAAUAUGAUAUGGCUUACACUUCAGUACCUGGAAAUUAAUGUAUAAGUGUCUGGAUUAAAUAGCAUGUGUGUUUAGUAGCGCUGGUGUUUACAUGCGACGUUGAGAGACAAAGGGGUUUUGAACCAUCAUCUUUGUACCCCGCGAGGGUAAACUGCACUUUACUUAUGCGUGUGCAAGCUUUGUUAUCUUUUCGGGUACGGAGGUUUUCGCUGGCAUCGCUGUAAUUCUUCUGACUGGAGUGUGUUAGGCUUACGUCUGAUCAAAACGGCGGAAAUCUCCGAAAAGUGACGAGGAUGCAGCACAGAGCUUUAUAUUUAUAAGAUAAAAUCCACUUCGUUUAACUAUAUGAGAGUUUGAAUGGGCCUCUGUGCACAAGGAUGUGGAACUUAAUAACAAAAAAACAGAGAUCUAGAUCAGUGGCUUUCAGGUUAAAAUGUGGUAGCUAGUAAUAAUAGCUAUAAAGUCAGUCUUUGAUGGUAAAUAUUGUCUAAGUACGUUUUGAUCAGAUGUGGAGUUUAAUUUAAGCCAGUCUGAUGGUAAAAGCACUGCCGUUCUUCAGUCUGUGGUACAAACACCUUCUUCAUACUGUAACGCUCUCGGUUUAUAAACCAAGAGCAAUCAGCAAUCAGAUAUAUGAAAUGUAGCACUCACUGCAGAGGGUUUUCUCUGAUUGAGCUUGUGUGUAUUAGUUGCAUAACUAGUGCUUAUUGAAUGCAUAAGUAUGUGUAAAUAUCUGAUAAAUAUCAGGAAAAAAUUGGUCUUUGAUAUCUUUGGGGGUUUUUUUUGCACCAAAUUAAAAAUCCUAAGAGUGAAGUUCAUGGAGAUUGCUUACGAAUGGGCAAAAAUCUAGGGUUUAUAUCUAAAUUUAAUUUAUGAGAGUUUAUGCAAAUCAGAAGAUACCAGAGAAGUACCAGGCAAGCAGGUUUACUAUUUACAUAUUUUUCUGCAUAUACUGCAGAUGUAUACAGUAUGUAGCUGGUGUAUAAUGUCUGCAUAAAUAUCUGGUGUUUAUUAUCUACAUGUAUUUUGUUUAUUCUGUGCAGGUGGUAGCAAAGAAAUAUAUUGUAUGUAGCUGGAGUAUAAUAUGCAUGUCUGUAAAUAUCUGGUGUUUAAUAAUUACAUGUUUUCCUAUCUGUCUAAACUGCAAAUAGCAACAGAAAAGCUUAUCGUAAAUAGCUGGCGGUUCAUGGGCAGGUAUCACUAAGCAUCUGGUGUUUCUAGAGCUGGGCGAUAUGUCCUAUAAAUUGAAACUCCGAUUUUUUUUAAACAAAAUUCGAUUUUUGAUUUUAAAACGAUUAUUUUUCUUUAAAAAAAUUAAUAAAACACUAGAGACUACGCUACCAGUCAAAAGUUUGGACACACCUUUUAAUUCAGUGUUUUUUGUUUAGGGAUUUAUUUUCUACAUUCUAGAACAAUAGUGGAGAUUUCAAAACUAUGAAAUAACACACAUGGGCUUAAGUAAUCCAUAUGUAACGACAACAAAAAACAGUCAGUUGUUAUUUUAAGACACGAAGGUCAGGUGUUCUGGAAUAGUUCUUGCAAGAACAGUAUUGUCAAGUGCAUUUGCAAAACUGAUCAAGCACCAUGAUGAAACUGGCUCACAUGAAGACCAUUCCAGUAAAGCAAGACCAAAACUGACCUCUGCUGCAGAGGAGAAGUUCAUUUAGAGUUACCAGCCUCAGAAAUCACCAAUUAACAGCACCUCAGAUUAGAGGCGUCAUGAAGGCUUUACAGAGCGUCGGUAGCAGACGUAUCUGAAUAUCAACUGUUCAAAGUACAUUAUUGUGUAUUUCGGCCGCCUUCAGCAUUGUUUUACAAUGUAGAAAGAAAUAAACAUCAGAAAAGACCAUGGAAUUAGAAGGUGUGUCCAAACUUUUGACUGGUACUGUAUAUGAUAGAUUUUUUUUUAAUUUGAGCAAAAACAAUAUAACCACACAUAUGAACUGCAAACUUACUUUCGCUAACAAGUUUUUUUUUUGUUAUUUUAGAAAAUCAAUAAUCAACAUAAAAACCUUUUUUUUGGGAUUAAUAAAGUGCAAACUUUCACCAGUCUUUACAAGUUCUAAUUAUUCUAGCAAACUAAAGUAAUAUAACAAAAUAUGAGGUAUUUUUGAAGUGCAAACUAUAGACUUAACUUAUAUCACUUUUUAUAAAAUAAAUAGUUGUCACCUGAAAAAAAAAUCCCUAAAAAAACAGCAGUUCAACAUGCAACUUACAUGAUCAAUAAAAUCAAACAGGAGCCAGACAUCAUAUGGGCACAAUCAGGGGCGAGUCUAGGAUUUUCAUUUAAGGGGGACUCAGCCCCCAAUGAGGGUAUAAUAGUAAAACAUAUAUAUAAAUAAAUAAAAGGUUUCACUAACAGGGUAGGAUGGUAAACUUAUUGCAGCAUUCCACUGUAUUGCAUAGAUGUAUAUAACAUUUGAGUACUGAACAAGCCAAAUACGAGUCUUCCUGAUCACAUACACACACACACACACAAGCAGGCGCACACACACACACACACACACACUUGUCCUCUGAUCCUCGCUCUGUGGCGCCGUGGUCUGCGGAUUGAAGAACACGCUGAAAGACGGGGCCAUGUCGCUAGGCCAUUUUUAACAUUUCUACUCAGCCCUCCUAAAAUUCUGUGAUUCUCCAUAAACUGUACACAAAUUCAUGAUCGUCUCAGUCCUCUUUAAAUUUCAUAUGAAAACGGCGGAGACUUUUCAUAUGAAAUUUAACUUCGGCUCCUCCCCGUCUUUCAGCGCGUUCUUCAAUCUGUCUGAUGAAAUCGUGCCUCCCUUGGAAACAAGCUCUUUGCGUCGCAGAAUUAUGGAAGCUUGCUCUGCCAAACCAAGUUGAAAUUAUAUAAUCGAUUUUCGUUUUUCAACGUUGACAUAAACCAUAAAUUCGAAGCUCUAGGUGUUUCAUAUCUGUAUGUAUUGGUUUGUAAACCUUGUUUACACCUGUUGUUUAUUCGGUGGGUAUUGGUCAGUGUUGGUCAGUGUUUGGUGUUUUGUGGGUGAGUUCGAGUAAAUAUCUCUCCUCAGGCAAUAAAAUAUGAUAAAAAAAUGGUAAAAUAUAUGAUAUGUAUCUGAUGUAUAAUAUGCAUGUCUGGGUAAAUAUCUGGUGUUUACUAUUUACAUGUUAUUCUAUCUGUGUAAACUGCAGACGUAGGCAGGGAAGUUUAUGGUAAGUAUCUGGUGUUUAUUGGGCCGAUAUGGUUAAAUAUCUGCUGGUUAAUAUUUGUGUAUGUUUGAAAUGCACCUCAGAUUAGUAACAAGGAGGCAUGUAGUAAGUGUCUGCUGAUAUUGGACAUUGUCUUGUGUUUUAUGGGUGAGGGUGAUGAAUAUCUUCAUUUGUUUCUUUGAAAACCAAACGUCCCAGCAGGGAAGUGUGUGGUAAGUAGCUGUUGUUUAUUGUUUGGGAAUGAGGAAGUAUCUGUUGUUUAAUAUCUUAAUGUGCAAGUAAUGGGUAAGUAUGAGUAAAUAUCUGGUGUUUUAUUAUCUACAUGUCUUUGUUUUCGACAGCUGGAAUCAAAGAAAUAUAUGCUAUGUAGUUGAUGUUUGAUAGGCAUGUCUGGGUAAAUGUCUGAGACAUGUAAUUUUGUGUUUUGUGGGUGACUGUGAAUGGUUUGCCUUGAUCUGUUAUUUAUUGGCUAGGUAUUGGACAAUGUCUGGUGUUUUGCGGAUGAGUGUGAGUAACUAUCUUCUCUGUCCAUAGCUGACACUCGACCACACCCCCACUGCCACAGUAUUAUAAUGUGUCCCCUUUUCAGUGGGUGAGUAUGGUAAAUAUCUGAUCUUUAAUAUCUUAACUUGUUUCCCUGUUAACCUAAGGUCCUAGUGGGGAAGUGUGUGGUAAGUAGCUGAUGUUUAUUGGUUGUAAAUGCGGAAUUAUCUUAAUGUGUAUGUAAUGGGUAGGUAUGAGUCAUUACUUGGUGUUUAUUAAGUACAUGUAUUUGUUUAUUGCUACACAAGCCAGGAGAUAAACGGUAUGUAGCUGGUGUUUAAUAUGCAUGUCUGUGUAAAUAUCUGGUGUUUACUAUUCUUACGUACUUGUGUGUACCCCACAGACGGUAUCAAGGAAAUAUAUGGUAUGUAGCUGGUUAAUAAUAUGCAUGUCUUGGUAAAUAUGUGGUGUUAUUAUUUACAUGUUUAUCUAUCUGCUUAAACUGGAGAUAGUAGCCAGAAAGGUUAUGUUAAUUAGCUCAGUUAGAACGGAAAACGUCCGCAAACCGGUAGACCAACUCCGUCAAGUACUCGUUCUGGGAUGGAGUGAGAUCAGCCCUUUUCUGCACAAAGGUACUCCCUUCCUCAUCUAACACCCACAGGAGCAUCCUCUUCAGUUGAACCUUUCACGUCUAGAAGGCCCCUUGGUUACUGUCCGAAGAGGAGACUGAGUGGCGAUUGCCCGGUGGAUGCUUGGGUAGUCUCCCGGAUGGCGAAGAGCAGACAGGGUAAGUGUAGGUCUGAGUUCUUCCCUGCAUUGUCUAACACCAACAAAAGCAUUGUCUUCAGCAUUCAGUUGAACCCGUCACGUCUAGAAGGCACCUUGGUUACUGUCCAAAGAGGAGUUUUAGUAUUGAUUGCCUGGAGGAUGCUUGGGUAGUGUUCCAGAUGGCCAAGUGCACAUAGGGUAAGAGUAGGUCUGAAUUGCUCCCUUCCUCGUCUAACACCCACAGGAGCAUCUUCUUCAGUGUUUGGUUGAACCUGUCAACAAAUCCAUUGAUCUCGGCAUGGUUGGCGUCAUCUGGUGUUUAACCUGCAACAUCCGACAGAUCAACCCUGGGCUUAGAUGUGAAUGGUUUGCCUUGAUCUGUUAUUUAUUGGCUAGGUGUUUUGCGGAUGAGUGUGAGUAACUAUCUUCUGUCUCCAUAGCUGACACUUGACCACACCCCCACUGCCACAGUAUUGUAAUGUGUCCCCUUUUCAGUGCGUGAGUGUGGUAAAUAUCUAAUCUUUAAUAUCUUAACUUGUUUCCCUGUUAACCUAAAGUCCUAGUAGGGAAGUGUGUGGUAAGUAGCUGAUGUUUAAUAUGCAUGUCUGUGUAAAUAUCUGGUGUUUACUAUUCUUACAUACUUGUGUGUACCCCACAGGCGGUAUCAAGGAAAUAUAUGGUAUGUAGCUGGUUAAUAAUAUGUAUGUCUUGGUAAAUAUCUGGUGUUCAUUAUUUACAUGUUUUCCUAUCUGCUUAAACUGGAUAUAUUAGCAUGAAAGGUUAUGUUAAUUAGCUGUGUUGGAAGGGAAGACGUCCACAAACCGAUACACCAACUCUGUCAAGUACUCGUUCUGGGAUGGAGUGAGAUCAGCCCCUUUCUGCUCCAAGGUAUGCUCCUUGAGAUCUGUGGAGCAAGCAAAAUCAGACGAAGCACGCGCAGACUCUGUCCGUCUUUUCAGGAUGCUGACGUGGUACAACUGUGUCUUUGUUUGCUUAUCUGGCUGUUGCAGAUGGUAGUUCAUGGCUCCCACCCAUUCAGCUAUCAUGUAGGGGCCCUGUCAGCGGUCGAGGAAAUUGCAGGUAGCAUCAGGUAGGAGGAGGUUCAGCCGAUCGCCUGGCUUCGGCCACAUGGACUUAAUGUAUGUGCAACAAUAAAUGAUGUUAAUGUUCAAUUUUUAUUGGAUACCGGAGUUAACUGUCAUAACUACAUCACUGGCUAACAAAAUCAAACUUUCUGUGACUCCAGAGCACAUCACCGCAAAUGGGACAGGGGUGGGAGAUAUAAUUUUGGGAAGAUCUGAACCCAUUAUAAUGUGCAUUGGACCUCAUGAAAUGAAAACGAGUUUGGCUUGGAGAAAUUACACAACCUUUCCUGGGGCUUUACACAUUGCUGAAAUUUAACUCAUCACUAACCUUUGAGGAUGGCACGGUCACAUGGAAUUUGAGGAGGCUUGUAAAAACUGACCUUCAACAACACUGUAUUUGGUCCGAAGAUAAAGAUGAUUGUGGAUUGCUGCAAAUAACUCCCGUAUCAUUCACUGGGAAACCACCACCGUGUACCAAACAAUACCCUAUCAGCAAUGAAUCUAUCCAGGGCAUACUUUUCAUUGUUCAACAGCUAGAAAAGUGAGGCAUUCUAACAAAAACUCAGAGUGCAUCUAACAGUCCAAUCUUGCCUGUAAGAAAAGCUAAUGGUACAUGGUGACUGACAAUGGAUUACAGAGAAGCCAACAAGCGUGUACAUAAAUCGACACCUUUAGUAGCUAAUCCUGCAACCAUUUUUAACACUCUGAAACCAGUACAUGAGUGGUUUACUGUGCUAGAUAUGGCAAACGGCUGAAUCUCAACCUUGGCUUGCUUUUACUGUUGCAGGGCAACAAUAUCAGUGGAAAUGUCUCCCACAAGGUUUUCACAACAGUCCUACUGUCUACCAUCAAGCUCUCAGAACACAUUUAACGUCUCCAGACAUGCCAGUUGUGACCUCAGAGAUCAUACGGUAUGUGGAUGAUGUAUUAUUUGCCUCAAAAACUGCACAUGAACAUGAGAAAGAUGUCAGAGAAAGGCCACAAUGCAAGCUUAGAAAAAACUCCAAAUCAUACAAAGAGAAGUGAUAUAUCUAGGACAGAAGAUAUCCAAAGGCGAAAGAACAAUGACUCCUACCAAGGAAACCCCUCAACCCACAACUGUCCAAGACCUAAGAAGGAUUUUAGGACUCAUACUCAUACACUGAAAUUGUUCAACAUCUUCAUGAUUUGCUAAAAGGAAACCCACAUUCCAAGGAAAACAUUGUUUUUGAUGAAGAAGCCUGUGAAGCGUUUCAGAGACUGAAAAAGGCUUUGAGUGAAGCAACUGCCAUAGGGAUACCUGAUACAGGAAAACCUUUCACAAUGUUUGUGAAUGAGAAAGAUGGGUACAUGACAGCUAUACUGACACAAGAACACGGAGGUGAGCAGAGGCCAGUGGGUUAUUACUCCGCAAAGUUGGAUAAUGUGGUCAUGGAUGGAAAAUGGAGCAAAACUACAUGAUGAUAAUAUUUGGUGAUAUCGCACAUGAACUGUUGCUUCUGAAUGUCUUCUGCCCUAUCUGGCUACAGAGAUUCACUCACUAGGCCAGAUAGGUAAUGACAAAAUGAUCUACGGGUUCAAUCAGGUAUGGUGGAAUCCCAAGCUCCGCACACAAGCAUGGCAUGUGACUAGAAACUGUUUCACAAGCGUCAGGACAAACAGAGAGGAUAAACAGGUCAUAAAAGAAUGGUUAUCAAAACAUCACCAGGAAGGAAUGUUCUGGCCUGAGGCCCUACCAACUGUGCUCUGCAGCAUUCGAGCAACCCACAACACGGAAACUGGACUAAGCCCUUUUGAGAUCAUCACCGGCCAUCCCAUGUCUCUACCUGGGACCAUUGAUUUAAGAAAAGCUGAUGUGCACUUGACAUCUGACAGCCUCGUCCAAUACUGUGAAAGACUCAGCCAUGCAGUACAGAGUGUCGAGAAGCAAGUUCAUGAUGCAUGGGAGCCACCCCCAGAAGGGGGUCACAGUAUAGUCCCUGGACAAUGGGUAAUGAUUCAUAAACCUCAGUGAUUACCAUUGGAGGCCAGGUGGGAUGGUCCAUUUCAAGUUCUUUUAGUCACUAAUGCAGCAGUUAAAGUAUGUGGAAAGAAUAAGUGGAUUCAUGUGAGCCAUUGCAAAUUAGCUAAUCUACAUAGAGAAGAGGGACAGUCGGCAGUAUUCUUUAUCAGAGUCCAGAUAUGGCGGGACUAAAGUCUUUAGGCUUUAGCUUGUUGCCUGAGGAUGAAGAUCACACCAUUACUGAUAAACACUGUAGAGUCCUGCCAAAAUAAGUAGGGACAGUUUUAACAGUAAAAAAAAAAGUAAUGAAUGUAAAAGUAUAGUUAGUGUUAACAGUAUUAACUACCAUAAAUUGCAAAUUUCUCAAGUAGAAACCUGUAUGCAACAAGUGUAUUCUUACGUACUUGUGUGUACCCCACAAGCGGUAUCAAGGAAAUAUAUGUGAUGUAGCUGGUUAAUAAUAUGCAUGUCUUAGUAAAUAUGUGGUGUUUAUUAUUUACACAUUUAUCUAUCUGCUUAAAAAUCUAGCCAUGGAGUCACAGUUCAGUGACUUCUGUGCCAGUCCCAAGACCGGAUAAAUAGAGAGGGUUGUGUCAGGAAGGGCAUCCGGCAUAAAACAUUGCCAAAUUUAACCAUGCGAAUUGUCAGUACUCUGAAUUUAACAAUGAACAACGACCGCCAUCGGCGCCGUUGACCUACAGGGCGCUGGUGGAAAUUGGGCUACUGUUGGACGAAGAAGUAAAGGAGGGAGGAGAGUGUGCAGACAGAGAGAGAAGAGGAUAGGUAAGAGUGUAGGACUGAGAAUAGGAACUCUGAAUGUUGGUACUAUGACAGGGAAAGGUAGAGAGCUGGCUGAUAUGAUGGAGAGAAGGAAGGUGGAUAUACUAUGUGUACAGGAAACCAGGUGGAAGGGUAGCAAGGCUCGUAGUAUAGGAGCAGGAUUCAAGCUGUUUUAUUGUGGUGUGGACAGUAAAAGAAAUGGGGUAGGUGUGGCCCUGAAGGAGGAGGUUGUGAGGAAUGUUCUGGAGGUGAAGAGAGUGUCGGACAGGGUGAUGAGUCUGAAGUUAGAGGUUGAAGGGGUGAUGUUGAAUGUUGUUAGUGGUUAUGCCCCACAGGUAGGUUGUGAGUUAGAGGAGAAAGACAGAUUCUGGAGUGAAUUAGAUGAGGUGAUAGAGACUAUUCCCACAGGUGAGAAAGUGGUGAUAGGAGCAGAUUUUAAUGGACAUGUUGGUGAGGGGAACACAGGUGAUGAGAAGGUGAUGGGCAAGUUUGGAAUUGAGGAAAGGAACCUUGAAGGACAGAUGGUAGUGGACUUUGCUACGAGGAUGGACAUGGCUGUGGUUAACACUUAUUUUCAGAAGAGGGAGGAGCAUAGAGUGACUUACAAGAGUGGAGGUAGGAGCACACAGGUAGACUACAUACUUUGUAGAAGAGGCAAUCUGAAAGAGAUUAGUGACUGUAAAGUGGUAGUGGGAGAGAGUGUAGCCAGACAGCAUAGGAUGGUGGUGUGUAGGAUGACUUUGAUGGUCUGUAAGGAGAGGUUAAAGAUAGAGAUAGACAAGAAAACCACUAGGUUAGACACUAGAGAUGGAGAGAAGGACUUGUACAGGUUAGCUAGGCAGAGGGAUCGAGAUGGGAAGGAUGUGCAGCAAGUUAGAGUUAUUAAGGAUAGAGUUGGAAACAGGCUCACAAGUGAGGAGAGUGUACAGAGGAGAUAGAAGGAGUACUUUGAAGAGCUGAUGAAUGAGGAAAAUGAGAGGGAAAAAAGAGUUGAAGGGGUGAACUCUGUGGAGCAGAAAGUAGAUAAGACUAGAAAGGAUGACGUCAGGAAGGCUUUGAAGAGAAUGAAAGGUGGAAAGGCAGUUGGUCCUGACGACAUCCCGGUGGAGGUCUGGAAGUGUCUAGGAGAGGCAGCAAUUGAAUUCUUAAAUAGUUUGUUUAACAGGGUUUUAGAGAGUGAGAAGAUGCCUGAGGAAUGGAGAAGAAGUGCAUUAGUGCCGAUCUUUAAGAAUAAGGAUGAUGUGCAGAGUUGCAGCAACAAUAGGGGGAUAAAGUUGAUGAGCCAUACAAUGAAGCUAUGGGAAAGAGUAGUGGAAGGUAGUGGAAAUAUUUGAGCAGCAGUAUGGCUUCAUGCCCAGAAAGAGCACAACAGAUGCAAUUUUUGCUCUGAGAAUGUUGAUGGAGAAGUAUAGGGAUGGUCAGAGAGAGUUGCACUGUGUGUUUGUAGACGUGGAGAAAGCAUAUGACAGGGUGCCAAGAGAAGAGCUGUGGUACUGUAUGAGGAAGUCAGGAGUAGCAGAGAAGUAUGUCAGAGUGGUGCAGGACAUGUAUGAGAGGUAAGGCCCGACAGGAGUUCAAAGUGGAGGUGGGACUGCAUCAGGGAUCGGCUCUGAGCCCCUUCUUGUUUGCUAUGGUGAUGGACCAGUUAUCAGAGGAGGUCAGACAGGAGUCUCCUUGGACAAUGAUGUUUGCAGAUGACAUUGUGAUCUGUAGUGAGAGCAGGGGGAGGAAAACCUGGAGAGGUGGAGGUUUGCGCUGGAGAGAAGAGGAAUGAAAAUCAGUCGUAGUAAGACUCAGUGCAUGUGUGUGAAUGACAAGGAGGGAAGUUUAACAGUAAGAUUACAGGGUGAAGAGGUGAAGAAGGUACAGGAGUUUAAGUACUUGGGGUCAACAGUCCAGAGUAAUGGAGAGUGUGGGAAAGAGGUAAAGAAGUGAGUGCAGGCAGGUUGGAAUGGGUGGAGAAAGGUGUCGGGAGUUCUGUGUGGUAGAAAAUUUUCAGCAAGAAUCAAGGGGAAGGUGUACAAGACAGUGGUGAGACCGGCCAUGCUGUAUGAUUUAGAGGCAGUGUCUCUGAGGAAGAGACAGGAGUCAGAGCUGGAGGUAGGAGAGCUGAAGAUGUUGAGGUUCCCUUUGGGAGUGACACGGUUGGACAGGAUUAGGAACGAGUACAUCAGAGGGACAGCUCAUUUUGGACGUUUGGGGGACAGAGUUUGGGAGGCCAGAUCAAGAUGGUUUGGACAUGUCCAGAGGAGGGAGAGUGAGUAUAUUGGUAGGAGAAUGUUGGACAUGGAGCUGCCAGGAAGGAGGCAAAGGGGAAGGCCAAAGAGGAGGUAUAAGGAUGUAAUAAAUGAGGAUAUGAAGCUAGUGGGUGCAAGUGUUGAGGAUGCAGAAGAUAGGGAUAGGUGGAGAGAGAUGAUUUGCUGUGGUGAUCCCUGAAGGGAAGGGAAAAGCCGAAAGAAGAAGAAGAUCUAUCUACUUAAACUGGAGAUAGUAGCUGGAAAGGUUAUGUUAAUUAGCUGGGUUGGAACGGAAAACGUCUGCAAACCGGUACACCAAGUUUGGCAAGUACUCAUUCUGGGAUGGAGUGAGAUCUCCAUAUCUAUGAGAUAUGUGGAGCAAGCAAAAUCAGACAUAGCAAACUGUGUCUCUGCUUGCUCACCUGGAUUUUGCAGGUGGUAGUUCAUGGCUCCUACCCAUUCAACUAUCAUGUAGGGGCCUUGCCAGCGGUCAAGGAAAUUGCAGGUAGCAUCAGGUAGCAACUGCCGUUCUUGGGUUGGACGGUUGUAGAUUCGUUGUUGGUCUCUUUGAUCUGCGUCCAUAUGUUUGCAGAUGAUAGGAGAUAAUUUAUCCAUCAGCUGAUGCAUCUCCUGAAUAGGAUGCACAACUGAGUGCUAGGGUGAGGGCUGCUCCUCCCAGGCCUCUUGAGCCACGUCUAGAAGGCCCCUUGGUCGCUGUCUGGAGAGGAGUUUGAAUGGUGAUUGCCCAGUGAAAGCUUGAGCAGUCUCCCCGAUAGCGAAGAGAACAUAGGGCAAGAGUAGGUCUGAGUUCCUCCCUUCCUCGUCUAACACCAACAGGAGUAUCCUCUUCAGUGUGUAGUUGAACCUGUCACGUCUAGAAGGCACCUUGGUCACUGUUCUAAGAGGAGUUUGAGUGGUGAUUGCCCGAUGGAUGCUUGGGUAGUUUCCUGGAUGGCGAAGAGCACAUAGGGUAAGAGUAGGUGUGAGUUCCUCCUGUCCUUGUCUAAUGCCCACAGGAAAAUCCUCUUCAGUAUUCAAUUGAACCUUUCACGUCUAGAAGGCCCCAUGGUCGCUGUCUGAAGAGGAGUUUGAGUGGUGAUUGCCUGAUGGAUGCUUGGGUAGUCUCCCGGAUAGCGAAGAGAACAUAAGGUAAGAGUAGGUCUGAGGUCCCCCCUUCCUUGUCUAACACCCACAGGAGAAUCCUCUUCAGUAUUCAGUUGAACCUUUCACUUCUAGAAGGCCCCGUGGUCACUGUCCAAAGAGGAGUUUGAGUGGUGAUUGCCCGGAGGAUGCUUGGGUAGUGUUCCGGAUGAUGAAGAGCACAUGCCGUAAGUGUAGGUCUGAGUUCCUCCCGUCCUUGUCUAAUGCCCACAGGAGCAUCUUUUUCAGUAUUCGGUUGAACCUUUCAACAAAUGCAUUGAUCUCGGCAUGGUUGGCGUCAUCUGGUGUUUAACCUGCAACAUCCGACACAGAUCAACCCUGGGCUUAGAUGUGAAUGGUUUGCCUUGAUCUGUUAUUUGUUGGCUAGGUAUUGGUCAAUGUAUGGUGUUUUGCAGAUGAGUGUGAGUAACUAUCUUCUCUCUCCAUAGCUGACACUCGACCACACCCCCACUGCCACAGUAUUGUAAUGUGUCCCCUUUUCAGUGCAUGAGUGUGGUAAAUAUCUGAUCUUUAAUAUCUUAACUUGUUUCCCUGUUAACCUAAAGUCCUAGUAGGGAAGUGUGUGGUAAGUAGCUGAUGUUUAAUAUGCAUGUCUGUGUAAAUAUCUGGUGUUUACUAUUCUUACAUACUUGUGUGUACCCCACAGGCGGUAUCAAGGAAAUAUAUGGUAUGUAGCUGGUUAAUAAUAUGUAUGUCUUGGUAAAUAUCUGUUGUUCAUUAUUUACGUUUUUCUAUCUGCUUAAACUGCAUAUAUUAGCAUGAAAGGUUAUGUUAAUUAGCUGUGUUGGAAGGGAAGACGUCCACAAACCGAUACACCAACUCCGUCAAGUAUGCUCCUUGAGAUCUGUGGAGCAAGCAAAAUCAGACGAAGCACGCGCAGACUCUGUCCGUCUUUUCAGGAUGCUGACGUGGUACAACUGUGUCUUUGUUUGCUCAUCUGGCUGUUGCAGAUGGUAGUUCAUGGCUCCCACCCAUUCAGCUAUCAUGUAGGGGCCCUGCCAGCGGUCAAGGAAAUUGCAGGUAGCAUCAGGUAGGAGGAGGUUCAGCCGAUCGCCUGGCUGAAACUCCCAUGCUUGUGUUGGACGGUUGUAGAUUCUUUGUUGGUCUCUUUGAACUGUGUCCAUGUUUGCAGAUGAUAGGAGUUACUUCAUCCAUCAGCUCUUGCAUCUCCUGAAGAUGAUGCACAACUGAUUGUUCGGGUGAGGGCUGCUCCUCCCUGGCCUCUCGAGCCACGUCUAGAAGGCCCCUUGGUCACUGUCUGAAAAGGAGUUUGAAUGGUGAUUGCCCGGUGAAUGUUUGAGUAGUCUUCUGGAUGGCCAAGAGCACAUAGGGUAAGAGUAGUUCUGAGUUCCUCCCUUCCUCAUCUAACACCCACAGGAGAAUCCUCUUCAGUGUUUGGUUGAACCUUUCAUGUCUAGAAGGCCCUGUGGUCGCUGUAUGAAGAGGUGUUUGAAUAGUGAUUGCCCAGUGAAAGCUUGAGUAGUCUCCCCGAUAGUGAAGAGUACAUAGGGUAAGAGUAGAUCUGAGUUCCUCCCUUCCUCCUCUAACACCAACAGGAGCAUCCUCUUCAGUAUUCCUUUGAACCUUUCACGUCUAGAAGGCCCCGUGCUCACUGUCCAUAGAGGAGUUUGAGUAGUGAUUUCCCGGAGGAUGCUUGGGUAGUGUUCCGGAUAGGGAAGAGCAUAUAGGGUAAGAGUAGGUCUGAGUUCCUCCCUGCCUUAUCUUACACCCACAGGAGCAUCCUCUUCAGCAUUCAGUUCAGUUGUACACUACACAUCUAGAAGUCACCCUGGUCACUGUCCUAAGAGGAGUUUGAGUGGUGGUUGCCUGGAGGAUGUUUAGGUAGUGUUCCAGAUGGCCAAGAGCACAUAAGGUAAGAGUAGUUCUGAGUUCCUCUCUUCCUCAUCUAACACCCACAGGAGAAUCCUCUUCAGUAUUCAGUUGAACCUUUCAUGUCUAGAAGGCCCCGUGGUCGCUGUCGAAAGAGGAGUGUUACGACUUCAAGAUGGUAGGUCUAAGGGUACCAGAAGUAACAUUCAAGUUGUGACUCAUUUAAGUGGGGGUUGGUAGUAAUUGACAAGAGAACAACUUUAUAGCAAAAAUAAAAUAUAGUAUUUAUUGUCCACAACGGAAUUGGAAUAGAAGAAAUAUAGAUAGAUAUAUAUAUAUUUACAUACAACUGAGAGUUAUAUUAUAAUCAACACAGGAAAAGAGAGGAUUAACAGCGGCGCCAAAUAAAAGAAAGAAAUAUAACAAAACCAAACUAACUUGCCGCAAUCCUCUAAUCUAUCUAGAAAAUAAAAGGAAAAGAAAGUCUUCGGCAUUUUCAUGCCCUAUCUAAACUAUUCUCACUAACCAGAAACAAAACAUACAGAGAGUGGCGCUCGCUCCUAUCCUAGUGUAUCUAUACACAGCCACUUCUCUACGUGUAGCACAAUGAAUCUCAGGUAACUAAACUGUCCUCUUUUCCCGGGGGUAGAUCAAAGCAAAGUAGAGAAUAGGCAAGGGAGAGAGCAAAAGCAAGAGACCGAGCGUCCACACAGGCGUCCCUUUUAAAACUGACGCGGAUCUCAGGGAUUGGCGAAGGCGGCGACGUCACGCAGGUUAACGAGGAUAGACGUCAGCGAAGGUGGCGAUGUCACGCAGGUUAACGAGGAUAGACGUCAGCGAAGGUGGCGACGUCACGCAGGUUAACGAGGAUAGACGUCAGCGAAGGCGGUGACGUCACGCAGGUUAACGAGGAUAGACGUCUCCCCUGACGAAUGGGAUUCCAGGGGGUGGGGAACCUACGAGGCAGUGAGAGUGGGAAGAGAUAGUAAGAGAGCAAAAAAAAAAACACAGGCACAACUUUGGGCCGUAACAAGGAAGUUGAGAAGUGAUUGCCCGGAGGAUGCUUGGGUAGUGUUCCAGAUAGCGAAGAGCACAUAGGGUCUGAGUAGGUCUGAGUUCCUCCCUUCCUUGUCUAACACUCACAGGAGCAUCUUUUUCAGCAUUCAGUUGAACCUUUCAAAUGUAGAAGACCCCUUGAUCGCUGUCCGAAGAGGAGUUUGACUGGUGAUUUCCUGAAUUAUGCUUGGGUAGUGUUCCGGAUGAUGAAGAGCACAUGCCGUAAGUGCAGGUCUGAGUUCCUCCAGUCCUUGUCUAAUGCCCACAGGAGCAUCCUCUUCAGCGUUCGGUUGAACCUUUCAUGUCUAGAAGGCCCCUUGGUUACUGUCCGAAGAGGAGUUUGAGUAGUGAUUGACUGGAGGAUGCUUGGGUAGUGGUCCAGAUGGCCAAGUGCACAUAGGGUAAGAGUAGGUCUGAAUUGCUCACUUCCUUGUCUAACACCCACAGGAGCAUCUUCUUCAGUAUUCGGUUGAACCUUUCAACCAAUCCAUUGAUCUCGGCAUGGUUCACUUCAUCUGGUGUUUAACCUGCAACAUCCGACACAGAUCAACCCUUGGCUUAAAUGUGAAUGGUUUGCCUUGAUCUGUUAUUUGUUGGCUAGGUAUUGGACAAUGUCUGGUGUUUUGCGGAUGAGUGUGAGUAACUAUCUUCUCUCUCCAUAGCUGACACUCGACCACACCCCCACUGCCACAGUAUUGUAAUGUGUCCCCUUUUCAGUGGGAGAGUAUGUUAAAUAUCUGAUCUUUAAUAUCUUAAUUUGUUUUCCUGUUAACCUAAAGUCAUAGUAGGGAAGUGUGUGGUAAGUAGCUGAUGUUUAAUAUGCAUGUCUGUGUAAUUAUCUGGUGUUUACUAUUCUUACAUACUUGUGUGUACCCCACAGGCGGUAUCAAGGAAAUAUAUGGUAUGUAGCUGGUUAAUAAUAUGUAUGUCUUGGUAAAUAUCUGGUGUUCAUUAUUUACAUGUUUUCCUAUCUGCUUAACCUGGAUAUAUUAGCAGGAAAGGUUAUGUUAAUUAGCUGUGUUGGAAGAGAAGACGUCCACAAACUGAUACACCAACUCCGUCAAGUACUCAUUCUGGGAUGGAGUGAGAUCAGCCCCUUUCUGCACCAUGGUACGCUCCUUGAGAUCUGCGGAGCAAGCAAAAGGUAGGAGAUUGGAGGUAGGAGCACACAGAUAGAAUACAUUCUUUGUAGAAGAGGCAAUCUGAAAGAGAUUAGUGACUGUAAAGUGGCAGUGGGAGAGAGUGUAUCCAGACAGCAUAGGAUGGUGGUGUGUAGGAUGACUUUGAUGGUCUGUAAGAAGAGGUCAAAGAUAGAGAUAGAAAAGAAAACCAAGUGGUGGAAGCUGAAAAAGGAGAAAUGUUGUGAGGAAUUUAGACAGAAGUUGAGACAGGCUCUGGGUGGUAAGGUAGUGCUGCCAGAUGACUGGGAAACUACAGCAGAAGUAAUCAGGGAGAGAGGAAGAAAGGUGCUGGGUGUGUCACCUGGAAGGAGGAAAGAAGAUAAGGAGACUUGUUGGUGGAAUGAGGAAGUUCAGGAUAGUAUUCAGAGGAAGAGGUUAGCCAAGAAGAAGUGGGACAUGGACAGGACUGAAGAGAAUAGACAGGAAUACAAGGAGUUACAGCGCAGAGUGUAGAGGGUGGUGUCUAAGGCCAAGCAGAAGGCGUAUGACAAGUUGUACACUAGGUUAGACACUAGAGACAGAGAGAAGGACUUGUACAGGUUAGCUAGGCAGAGGGAUCGAGAUGGGAAGGAUGUGCAGCAAGUUAGAGUUAUUAAGGAUAGAGUUGGAAACAUGCUCACAAGUGAGGAGAGUGUACGGAGGAGAUGGAAGGAGUACUUUGAAGAGCUGAUGAAUGAGGAAAAUGAGAGGGAAAAAACAGUUGAAGGGGUGAACUGUCAGGAGUUCUGUGUGGUAGAAAAUUUUCAGCAAGAAUCAAGGGGAAGGUGUACAAGACAGUGGUGAGACCAGCCAUGCUGUAUGAUUUAGAGGCAGUGUCUCUGAGGAAGAGACAGGAGUCAGAGCUGGAGGUAGGAGAGCUGAAGAUGUUGAGGUUCCCUUUGGGAGUGACACGGUUGGACAGGAUUAGGAACGAGUACAUCAGAGGGACAGCUCAUUUUGGACGUUUGGGGGACAGAGUUUGGGAGGCCAGAUUAAGAUGGUUUGGACAUGUUCAGAGGAGGGAGAGUGAGUAUAUUUGUAGGAGAAUGUUGAACAUGGAGCUGCCAGGAAGGAGGCAAAGUGGAAGGCCAAAGAGGAGGUACAUGGAUGUAAUAAAUGAGGAUAUGAAGCUAGUGGGUGCAAGUGUUGAGGAUGCAGAAGAUAGGGAUAGGUGGAGAGAGAUGAUUUGCUGUGGUGAUCCCUGAAGGGAAAAGCCAAAAGAAGACGACGAUCUAUCUGCUUAAACUGGAGAUAGUAGCUGGAAAGGUUAUUUUAAUUAGCUGGGUUGGAACGGAAAACGUCUGCAAACCGGUACACCAAGUCCGGCAAGUACUCGUUCUGGGAUGGAGUGAGAUCAGCCCCAUUCUGCACCAAGGUACUCUCCAAGAGCUAUGUGGAGCAAGCAAAAUCAGACAUAGCACAUGCAGACUCUGUCCAUCUUUGCAGGAUGCUAACAUGGCACAACUGUGCCUCUGCUUGCUCACCUGGCUUUUGCAGGUGGUAGUUCAUGGCUCCCAUCCAUUCAACUAUCAUGUAGGGGCCCUGCCAGCGGUCAAGGAAAUUUCAGGUAGCAUCAGGUAGCAACUGCCAUGCUUGUGUUGGACGGUUGUAGAUUCGUUGUUGGUCUCUUUGAUCUGCGUCAAUAUGUUUGCAGAUGAUAGGAGUUAAUUUAUCCGUCAGCUGCUGCAUCUCCUGAACAUGAUGCGCAACUGAGUGCUAGGGUGAGGGCUGCUCCUCCCAGGCCUCUUGAACCACGUCAAGAAGGCCCCUUGGUCGCUGUCUGGAGAGGAGUUUGAAUGGUGAUUGCCCAGUGAAAGCUUGAGCAGUCUCCCCGAUAGCGAAGAGAACAUAGGGUAAGACUAAGAGGAGUUUGAGUGGUGAUUGCCUGAUGGAUGCUUGGGUAGUUUCCCGGAUGGCGAAGAGCACAUAGGGUAAGAGUAGGUGUGAGUUCCUCCCUUCCUUGUCUAACGCCCACAGGAAAAUCCUCUUCAGUAUUCAGUUGAACCUUUCACUUCUAGAAGGCCCCGUGGUCACUGUCCAAAGAGGAGUUUGAGUAGUGAUUGCCCGGAGGAUGCUUGGGUAGCGUUCCGGAUGAUGAAGAGCACAUGCCGUAAGUGUAGGUCUGAGUUCCUCCCGUCCUUAUCUAACGCCCACUGCCACAAUAUUGUAAUUUGUCCCCUUUUCAGUGCGUGAGUGUGGUAAAUAUCUGAUCUUUAAUAUCUUAACUUGUUUCCCUGUUAACCUAAAGUCCUAGUAGGGAAGUGUGUGGUAAGUAGCUGAUGUUUAAUAUGCAUGUCUGUGUAAAUAUCUGGUGUUUACUAUUCUUACAUACUUGUGUGUACCCCACAGGCGGUAUCAAGGAAAUAUAUGGUAUGUAGCUGGUUAAUAAUAUGUAUGUCUUGUUAAAUAUCUGGUGUUCAUUAUUUACGUUUUCCUAUCUGCUUAAACUGGAUAUAUUAGCAGGAAAGGUUAUGUUAAUUAGCUGUGUUGGAAGGGAAGACGUCCACAAACCGAUACACCAACUUCAUCAAGUACUCGUUCUGGGAUGGAGUGAGAUCAGCCCCUUUCUGCACCAAGGUACACUCCUUGAGAUCUAUGGAGCAAGCAAAAUCAGACGAAGCACACACAGACUCUGUCCGUCUUUUCAGGAUGCUGACGUGGUACAACUGUGUCUUUGUUUGCUCAUCUGGCUGUUGCAGAUGGUAGUUCAUGGCUCCCACCCAUUCAGCUAUCAUGUAGGGGCCCUGCCAGCGGUCAAGGAAAUUGCAGGUAGCAUCAGGUAGGAGGAGGUUCAGCCGAUCGCCUGGAUGAAACUCCCAUGCUUGUGUUGGAUGGUUGUAGAUUCUUUGUUGGUCUCUUUGAUCUGUGUCCAUGUUUGCAAAUGAUAGGAGUUACUUCAUCCAUCAACUCUUGCAUCUCCUGAGAUGAUGCACAACUGAUUGUUCGGGUGAGGGCUGCUCCUCGAGCCAUGUUUAGAAGGCCCCUUGGUCGCUUUCUGAAAAGGAGUUUGAAUGGUGAUUGCCCGGUGAAUGUUUGAGUAGUCUUCCGGAUGGCCAAGAGCACAUAGGGUAAGAGUAGGUCUGGGUUCCUCCCUUCCUUGUCUAAAACCCACAGGAGCAUCCUCUUCAGUGUUCGGUUGAACCUUUCACGUCUAGAAGGCCCCUUGGUCGCUGUAUGAAGAGGUGUUUGAAUAGUGAUUGCCCAGUGAAAGCUUGAGUAGUCUCCCCAAUAGCGAAGACUACAUAGGGUAAGAGUAGAUCUGAGUUUCUCCCUUCCUUGUCUAAUACCCACAGGAGCAUCCUCUUCAGCAUUCGGUUCAGUUGAACCCUUCACAUCUAGAAGGCACCUUGGUCACUGUCCUAAGUUUUUUUAAGAAUUUUAAAGUUUAAAAUUUUUUUAAGUUUUUUAAAACUUUAAGAAGUUUUAAGAAUUUGAGUGGUGAUUGCCUGAUGGAUGCUUGGGUAGUCUCCCGGAUGGCGAAGAGCACAUAGGGUAAGAGUAGUUGUGAGUUCUUCCCUUCCUUGUCUAACACCCACAGGAGAAUCCUCUUCAGUAUUCAGAUGAAGCUUUCAUGUCUAGAAGGCCCUGUGGUCGCUGUCUGAAGAGGAGUCUGAAUAGUGAUUGCUCAGUGAAAGCUUGAGUAGUCCCCCCUGAUCGCAACGAGCACAUAGGGUAAGAGUAGGUCUGAGUUUCUCCCUUCCUCGUCUAACACCAACAGGAGCAUCCUCUUCAGUAUUCAGUUGAACCUUUCACGUCUAGAAGGCCCCGUGCUCGCUGUCAAUAGAGGAGUUUGAGUAGUGAUUUCCCGGAGGAUGGUUGGGUAGUGUUCCGGAUAGCGAAGAGCAUAUAGGGUAAGAGUAGGUCUGAGUUCCUCCCUGCCUUAUCUUACACCCACAGGAGCAUCCUCUUCAGCAUUCAGUUCAGUUGUACACUACACAUCUAGAAGUCACCUUGGUCACUGUCCGAAGAGGAGUUUGAGUGGUGAUUUCCUGAAUGAUGCUUGGGUAGUGUUCCGGAUGAUGAAGAGCACAUGCCGUAAUUGUAGGUCUGAGUUCCUCCCGUCCUUGUCUAACGCCCACAGGAAAAUCCUCUUCAGUAUUCAGUUGAACCUUUCACAUCUAGAAGGCCCCGUGGUCGCUGUCUGAAGAGGAGUUUGAAUAGUGAUUGCCCAGUGAAAGCUUGAGUAGUCUCCCCGAUCGCGAAGAGCACAUAGGGUAAGAGUAGUCAAGUCAAAGUCAAAGAAGCCUUAUUGUCACUUCAACCAUAUAUAGCUGAUGCAGUACACAGUGAAGUGAAACAACGUUCCUCCUAGACCAGAGGUGCUAUACAUACAAAGAUAAAGUACAGUGACGCAGACAAACAGAGGUAAACAUAAACAUAAAGGCUAAACUAUACUUAAGGUGUAAUAAAAUAACUAAACUAUACUUAAGAUGCAAUAAAUGAACUAGACAUACAACAGAAGCGCACAGGAUGACAAGACAAGACAAGUGCAGAUAAACAACAUAUAGACCGACUUUUGCGCAGAUAGCAGUGUAUACAGUGAGUGCAAAUAAGAAAUUGACAUUUUGUGCAAAGAACAGUGUAUACAGUGAAUGCAAAUAUUAAAGUGACACAUGUAAACAGGAUUAAUAUAAAAAAAUGUAAAGGGAAAUGUAAAGUGACGUGUGUGCAAACAGGACAAUUUAGUGUUUGUGUGUGUGUGUCUAUGUCUUCUUGGAACACAGUUCUCAGCUUUUCUGCAUGUGUGUUAUGUAUGUGUGUGUGAGUACGUGUCCAGCACAAUUCAGUUCUCCUGUUGAGAUCAGAUCUUGGAUGUGUGUGUGUGUGUGAUCAGUUCAGCUCAGUUCUCUGUUGAGAUACCUGAUUGCCUGAGGGAAGAAACUGUUUAACAGUCUGGUUGUGCGGGUCCGAAUGCUUCGGUACCUCUUUCUGGAUGGCAGAAGGGUGAAGAGUGUGUGUGAGGGGUGUGUGGAAUCAUCCACCAUGCUGUUAGCUCUGCGGAUGCAGCGUGUGGAGUAAAUGUCUGUAAUAGAGGGAAGAGGGACUCCGAUGAUCUUCUCAGCUGUCCUCACUAUCCGCUGAAGGGUCUUGCAAUUUGAGACGGUGCAAUUCCCAAACCAGGCAGUGAUGCUAGUUGUUGCACCUCCUCUCCUUAUGCUGACUCGUCAUUCUUGCUGAUGAGACCCACCACUGUCGUGUCAUCGGCGAACUUGAUGAUGUGGUUGGAGCUGUGCAUUGCUGCAAAGUCGUGAGUCAGCAGAGUGAACAGCAGUGGACUGAGCACACAGCCCUGAGGAGCUCCAGUGUUCAGUGUGGUGGUGCUCGAGAUGCUGUUCCUGAUCUGGACUGACUGAGGUCUCCCAGUCAGGAAAUCCAGGAGCCAAUUGCAGAGGGAGGUGUUGAUGCCCAGCAGACUCAGCUUCUCGAUCAGGCGCUGAGGAGUGAUCAUAUUGAAUGCUGAACUGAAGUCAAUGAACAGCAUUCGUAGGUAAGUGUCUUUAUUGUCCAGGUGUGUGAGGGCCAGAUGGAGGAUUGUGGUGAUGGCAUCGUCUGUGGAGCGGUUUGGACGAUACGCAAACUGCAUGGGGUCGAAUGAAGGUGGCAGCAGGUUCUUAAUGUGUCUCAUGACAAGCCUCUCGAAGCACUUCAUGAUGAUGGGUGUGAGUGCAACGGGACAGUAGUCAUUCAGACAGGACACUGGAGACUCUCGGCACGGAGAUGAUGGUGGUCGACUUUCAGCACGUUGGGAUGAUGGCACUGCUCACGUCUAGAAGGCCCCGUGGUUGCUGUCUGAUGUUUUGUGGAUGAGUGUGAGGAACUAUCUUCUCUCUCCAUAGCUGACACUCGACCCACCCACAGGAGAAUCCUCUUCAGUAUUCAGUUGAACCUUUCAUGUCUAGAAGGCUCCGUGGUCUCUGUCCAAAGAGGAGUGUUACGACUUCAAGAUGGUAGGUCUAAGGGUACCAGAAGUAACAUUUAAGUUGUGACUAAUUUAAGUGAAGGUUGGUAGUAAUUGACAACUUUAUAGCAAAAAUAAAAUAUAGUAUUUAUUGUCCAUGAUGGAAUCGGAAUAGAAGAAAUAUAGAUAGAUAUAUAUAUUUACAUACAACUGAGAGUUAUAUUAUAAUCAACACGGGAAAAGAGAGGAUUAACAGCGGCGCCAAAUAAAAGAAAGAAAUAUAACAAAACCAAACUAAUCCUCUAAUCUGUCUAGAAAAUAAAAGGAAAAGAAAGUCUUCAGCAUUUUCACGCCCUAUCUAAUCUAUUCUCACUAACCAGAAACAAAACAUACAGAGAGUGGCGCUCGCUUCUAUUCUAGUGUAUCUAUACACAGCCUCUAUGUGUAGCACAAUGAAUCUCAGGUAACUAAACUGUCCUCUUUUCCCAGAGGUAGAUCAAAGCAAAGUAGAGAAUAGGCAAGGAGGAGAGAAAAAGCGAGAGACUGAGCGUCCACACAGGCGUCCCUUUUAAAACUGACGCGGAUCUCUGGGAUUGGCAGCGAAGGCGGCAACGUCACGCAGUUUAACGAGGAUAGACGUCUCCCCUGAUGAAUGGGAUUCCAGGGGGUGGGGAACCUACGAGGCAGUGAGAGCGGGAAGAGAUAGAAAGAGAGCAAAAAAAAACACAGGCACAACUUUGGGCCGUAACAUGGAGUUUGAGUAGUGAUUGCCCGGAGGAUGCUUGGGUAGUGUUCCGGAUAGCGAAGAGUACAUAGGGUAAGAGUAGGUCUGAGUUUCUCCCUUCCUUGUCUAACACUCACAGGAGCAUCUUUUUCAGCAUUCAGUUGAACCUUUCAAAUGUAGAAGGCCCCUUGAUCGCUGUCCGAAGAGGAGUUUGACCGGUGAUUUCCUGAAUUAUGCUUUGGUAGUGUUCCGGAUGAUGAAGAGCACAUGCCGUAAGUGCAGGUCUGAGUUCCUCCAGUCCUUGUCUAAUGCCCACAGGAGCAUCCUCUUCAGCGUUCGGUUGAACCUUUCAUGUCUAGAAGGCCCCUUGGUUACUGUCCGAAGAGGAGUUUGAGUUGUGAUUGCCCGGAGGAUGCUUGGGUAGUGGUCCAGAUGGCCAAGUGCACAUAGGGUAAGAGUAGGUCUGAAUUGCUCCCUUCCUCGUCUAACACCCACAGGAGCAUCUUCUUCAGUAUUCGGUUGAACCUUUCAACCAAUCCAUUGAUCUCGGCAUGGUUGACAUCAUGUGGUGUUUAACCUGCAAUGUCCAACACAGAUCAACCCUGGGCUUAGAUGUGAAUGGUUUGCCUUGAUCUGUUAUUUGUUGGCUAGGUAUUGGACAAUGUCUGGUGUUUUGCGGAUGAGUGUGAGUAACUAUCUUCUCUCUCCAUAGCUGACACUGGACCACACCCCAACUGCCACAGUAUUGUAAUGUGUCCCCUUUUCAGUGGGAGAGUGCGGCGGUAUCAAGGAAGUAUAUGGUAUGUAGCUGGUUAAUAAUAUGUAUGUCUUGGUAAAUAUCUGUUGUUCAUUAUUUACAUGUUUUCCUGUCUGCGUAACCUGGAUAUAUUAGCAGGAAAGGUUAUGUUAAUUAGCUGUGUUGGAAGGGAAGAUGUCCACAAACCGAUAUACCAACUCCGUCAAGUACUCAUUCUGGGAUGGAGUGAGAUCAGCCCCUUUCUGCACCAAGAUGGUAGUUCAUGGCUCCCACCCAUUCAGCUGUCAUGUAGGGGCCCUGCCAGCGGUCAAGGAAAUUGCAGGUAGCAUCAGGUAGGAGGAGGUUCAGCCGAUUGCCUGGCUGAAACUCCCAUGCUUGUGUUGGACGGUUGUAGAUUCUUUGUUGGUCUCUUUGAUCUGUGUCCAUGUUUGCAGAUGAUAGGAGUUACUUCAUCCAUCAGCUCUUGCAUCUCCUGAAGAUGAUGCACAACUGAUUGUUCGGGUGAGGGCUGCUCCUCCCAGGCCUCUCGAGCCACGUCUAGAAGGCCCCUUGGUUGCUGUCUGAAAAGGAGUUUGAAUGGUGAUUGCCCAGUGAAUGUUUGAGUAGUCUUCUGGAUGGCCAAGAGCACAUAGGGUAAGAGUAGGUCUGUAGGUUUCACGUCUAGAAGGCACCUUGGUCACUGUCCUAAGAGGAGUUUGAGUGGUGGUUGCCUGGAGGAUGUUUAGGUAGUGUUCCGGAUGGCCAAGAGCACAUAGGGUAAGAGUACUUCUGAGUUCCUCCCUUCCUCAUCUAACACCCACAGGAUAAUCCUCUUCAGUGUUCGGUUGAACCUUUCAUGUCUAGAAGGCCCCUUGGUCGCUGUAUGAAGAGGUGUUUGAAUGGUGAUUCCCCAGUGAAAGCUUGAGUAGUCUCCCCGAUAGCAAAGAGCACAUAGGGUAAAAGUAGGUCUAAGUUCCUCCCUUCCUCAUCUAAUACCCAAAGGAGCAUCCUCUUCAGUGUUCAGUUGAACCCUUCACAUCUAGAAGGCACCUUGGUCACUGUCCUAAGAGGAAUUUGAGUGGUGAUUGCCUGAUGGAUGCUUGGGUAGUCUCCCGAAUGGCGAAGAGCACAUAGGGUAAGAGUAGGUGUAAUUUCCUCCCUUCCUCGUCUAACACCCACAGGAGAAUCCUCUUCAGUAUUCAGUUGAACCUUUCACGUCUAGAAGGCCCUGUUGUCGCUGUCUGAAGAGGAGUCUGAAUAGUGAUUGCUCAGUGAAAGCUUGAGUAGUCCCCCCUGAUCGCGAUGAGCACAUAGGGUAAGAGUAGGUCUGAGUUUCUCCCUUCCUCGUCUAACACCCACAGGAGCAUCCUCUUCAGUGUUUGGUUGAACCUUUCAAGAAAUCCAUUGGUCUUGGUUUGAUAAUCUGACAUCAUCAGGUGUUCAACCUCCAAUAUCCGACAUAGAACAACUGUGAAUGGUUUGCCUUGAUUGGUCAGUUGUGAUAUUCCCGGUUCUGCUUUAGAGGAUCAUUUGCUCCAUGGCAAUACUGUGGAAGGUGACCUCCCCUGGUUAUCGGAUGGCAUAGACCACGAUUAUGAGGAUGAUUUAUGGGUGAGGGUGAUGAUACAUCUGAUAUUUUCAUUUGUUUCCCUGCAAACCAAAGGAGUAAAUGUCUGGUGUUUAUUAUUUACAUGUCUUUGUUUUCCACAGCUGGAAUCAAAGAAAAAUAUGCUAUUUAAUUAGUGUGUGACAGAUAUGUCUGGGUAGAUAUCUGAGACAUUUGAUAAGUAUUUGUUAUUUAUUGCAGUUCAGAGAGGUAGCCAAGCCUUGAACUGGUACUUAAAAGGAGGAGAGAAUGAGAGGAGAAGCGGUUCCACUGGAUCACAGAUGUUGCAGGACCGAGUACCUGCAAAGGUUGGCCAGUUGUGAUCUUUUUCUGGUUGACCCAUUGACCACUUGGAAAGACAAGUUGGUGACCGAGGAAGAAUGGUGACAGCUUGCAAAGAUGGCUGACAUUUGGGAAAGACCAAAGUUGGAUUCAGGAGGUUUGGCAAGCUGAAGCACAACCUCCGCGAGGAGUAAUCCACUGCUAAUCGCUAUGGAAAGGUACAUUACAAGAUACUCCCAGCAUCUAGUAAGAGCGGGGGAGGAUCAUCGGCCUACAGACAGACUGUUGUUCUGACCUCUCAUGAUGGACAAUUGACCUUGGAACAGCUAAUGCCGAGUUCACACUGCACAAUUUUCAAAGUUGUUGCAUCACCGUUGCUUUCAUACUACAUGACUAUCAGGGGUAGUUGCUGAUGUGUUCACAUUGCACGAUGGAUUGAUGACUUCACAAUGGGAAGAAUCGGCGUCAACUCUGUCUGGUUCACAACCUACUUUUCACAACCAAAUGCAUGCGAGAAAUGAUAAGGAAAUAACGCAAGAUCACAAGAGCUCUUACAUGAGACUGGAAAUGGUAUCCUACAAGAAGAUUGCUGUCCAAAUGGUCUGUGCGCUGAUUUGCAGUGAAUGGGCAAAAAAGAAAAGAUUAUGGUGGAGGAAUUGAUUGGGGAGACGCAGGGAACAAGGAUUGCGUGUUUUGCAAAUGAAUCAUUUUGUAGUGUGCUGCUGCUGGUCAAGCAAGUAUUUCUGCUUUAUUUCUGUCUGCUGUAAUUGUAAAGCUUAUUUAUUCUGAUACUAUAUUUAAGACAUUUUUCUGGUAAAAAUCUAUAAACUCUAUUAAACUAUAAUAUUGUGCUCCAAUCGAAGCCAUGCUUGCUGAUGUUGUGGUCUAUAACGUCUCCCCGAACUUCCCGCUGGCCUGUAUAUUGCUCUCUCAUUGGCUGUAGGUCAUCACCAAUGUAUUUUUCAGUCAAAACUUAUUUCACUAUAAGAACUAUAUGUUAAAAAUGAGAGGGUGUCUGAAGAUACAUCAGUCAAAGAUAAAGUGCUUGAAACCUGAACGUAAUGUAAACACACAGGGACACCUGGGGAGAUGGAGGAGAGGCUGGGGCAGGAGGCAAACAACAGCCCCCAGACUCUCCAGGCACAUGAUGAAAAAGGGAGCAGGAUUAGCAUCAUCGAUGUUUCAGAAGACGCAAAGCACCAGAUAGAGGUGGAGAGUACACAGGAUAUUAGACAGCCUGGACAGGAUAUAUAUGUAGUAGAAGUCUGAAAGGAACCAGAGAACUGGCCUGCUGCAGUGGCGAGGAAGGAGUGGGAGAGGUUUGAUCAUGAUGUGGACGAGGUGCUGGGAACAGCCUUGGCAGGAGAUGUGGGGACGAAGCUGAAGGAUAUGGCUUCCAUUAUUUGGAGCAUAGGUGCUGAUUGCUUUGUAAAAAAAGAGCCAAAUGUUAAAACAUAUGUCUAGCUAAAGGAAAACAAACAUAUGAAGGAGAUAGCAAUCUUUAAAAGGGAUCUGUGGAGGCUGAGGAAGGCAUUUUGUGAUGCAACAGUGGAUGAGAGACUAGCACUCACUGAAAUUCGUGACAACCUGAGGGUAUGCGUUAAGACCUUCUGAACAGCUGAAUGUCACUGCAGGGAUAGGAAGCGAUGAAUGAAGGAGCAGACAGAUUUCACCAAGAAUCCUUUCAAAUAUCUGUCAAAACUUUUGGGCGAUGUAAGAUCAGGGCAGCUGAAAGCAACAAAGGAGGAGGUGGAGGAGCACAUUUGCUAGGUCCAUAGCGACCCUAUAAGUGAGGACCAUGUUGCAAAAGGCUCAGCAGACGACUUUGGAAGCUACUGAAAGUGGCAUGGAAGAAGGACUUCCUCACUGAUUGUUAGCUAGUCGUUGUAUGAUGUUUCAUCCCUAAGGAAGAAAAUUCUACAGUGAUUAAGCAAUUCCGUACCAUCUCACUUCUCACGUCUGCCUGAAAAGGGGGAUUUCCAGGGAUAGUGGGCUGUCUUGAGCACACCAGCAUAAUCAGUAAGAUUAUCGCAGAUACGAAGAGGAACCAUGGUGACCUGGCAGACCUGUGGCUGGAUUUAAUGUAUAUGGGAUGAUACCUUGUAAUUUUCCAGCCAUUUCCAGAAGCUCUUGCAGUGCUACGAUGACAACAUGCGAUUCACCUGUGGAGACUUCGCCACCGAAUGGCAGAGGCUAGAGGUGGGCAUUUUCAAUGGCUACACGAUUUCAGUAAUCUUGUUUUUGAACAAUGAACCUUCUCGUUAAGUCAGCAGAGAAGUUGCGGCAGGGUGCAGUGACUCACCAUCAUGGCAAAAUUAGUACCUGAAUGGAGAUGAAUCUUGGAAGAUCUGUUUGAGCUAACUGAAUUGGGCAAGGAUGGAGUUUAAACCUGAAAUGUCCAGAAGCCUGGUAUUGAGGAAGGGGCACAUUUAUGACCGGUUCUGCUUCAGGAUCAAAGAUACCAUCAUCCCACCAGUCCAAGAGAGACCAGUGAAGAGCUUAGGGAAGUGGUAUAGGGCAGACAUCAAUGUUAAGCAGAGUGUGAGGGAGAUGUUUAUCCAAGUAGACACCUGGAUGACAUCCUACCCAUCAAAUAUUAGGCCUGUGUUUACCAACAUGGUUUUCUAGAUCAUAGACUGCUCUGGCCUCUGCUUGUUUAUGAGGUACCUGUCUCUACUGCCGAGGAAUUGGAGAGGAAGAUUAACACCUAUUUAAGGAGGUGGCUGGUUGUCCCAAGAUGCUCGGGCAGCACAGGCAGCAAGUUGCAGCUGUCAGUGACAUCAGUGUUUGAGGAGUAUAAAGCAUCAAAGGCAUGCCAGGCUAUGAUGCUGCAAGAUAGCAAGGAUGAAACAGAGGACUAAUGGAGGCUGAGGAUUGACUGCAGCAUGCUGACAUCGUUUGGACAGUAGGUACACCACAGUAUGGUACAGAGGGAGGUCCGCAAAGGCGGAGGAGAAAACUCAGCACGCCAAGGCAGUUGCCAUGAAAAAACAGGGCAGCUGGACAAGGUGGAAGGGUGUACGAGAAAGUGUCCUGACAUGGCAGGACAUUUGGACCAUGGAAUGAUGAUGGAAAAGUUCUUGAUGUGUUCUGUCUGCAAUGUUCUGCCUACUCCAUCAGACCUCUAUAUUUCAGGGAUGGCAGAGAGCCCCAGCUGCACUAUGUGUAAAGCAAGCCAACUUUGAGCAUGACCUCUCAGCAUGCCAGUAAGUGUCUUAUUGUGCAUGUAAUGAAUAGGUAUGAAUAAAUAUCUGGUGUUUAUCUGCAUGUGUUUCUAUUCCACAGGUGCUAUCAAAGAAAAAUAUGCUAGUUGUAGUUGAUGUUUGAUAUGCAUGUGUGGUUAAAUAUAUGAGACAUGUUGACAAGUAUCUGUUGUUCAUUGGCUUAGUGUUGAUCAGUGUCUGGUGUAUUGUGGAUGAGUGUGGUAAAUGUCUGGUUCGUAAUAUAUUUGUUUCUCUGCAAAUCAUUUCUCUUGUGGCUAAUAUCUGUAUGUGUUUACCAUAUUUAACCAUAUUUAGUUAUUUACUUGUUUAUUUAUUUAAUAUAUUGGUAUAUAUUAUCUUCAUGCAUUUGUUUGUUCUCCACAGGCAAUAAAAUAAAUGGUAUGUAUGUAAAUGGUAUGUAUGUCUGAGUAAAUAUCUGGUGUUUACUAUUUUCUUUUUUUCUAUCUGUGUAAACUGCAGACAUUAGCUGCGAACAUUAUGAUAAGUCUCUGGUGUUUAUUGGUCCAGGAUGGUUAAAUAUCUUUUGGUUAAUAUCCGUAAGUGAUUUUAAAUGCAUCUCAGGUAGUAGCGGGGAGGCAUACAAGUGUCCGCUGGUAUUGCACCUUGUGUUUUGUGGGUGAGGGUAAGUGAAUAUUUGCUGUUCAGUAUCUACAUGUUUUUCUGAGAAAACAUCGGUUAGAUUCAGAAAUUUGCAUGACACUGCUUCCAAUGUCACAACUAUCUCCUUUUGAGAUUAUAGACUUAUGCUUUUCUCCCAGGUGAUGCUGUAUUGGUAAAACUUCUUAACCCCAGGAAAGUGUGGAAAGGAGACUUUGCCCCUCCCACUUGAUUAUAGCUGUCACAUGCACCACCAUUCUGAACGACUCACAACCUCAGUGGAUCCACACAGGCAGGUUGAAAUGGUGCCCUGUUGUAGUGACAUCUAAGAAAGGAGAAAAUCAGCAAUCAAGCAGCCCUAAGGGGGCCUCAUCUCAUCUCACUUUUUCACAUAUACAUAUACAAAAAUGAUAAUGAUUUUGAUAAUCUGACAGGCACUAAAACUGCUAACAUUCCUAGACACUAGUUUCGUGGACUCUUUGGUCAUUCAUUUUGUGGUUCUCAGAUUUAAUCAGCCAUUGCGUAGAGAGUAAGUAAUUUGGAAAACAUGAUUGUUAUGCUCUUAGUAGAGGCCUUAUGCUCUUGUUUAUUUAGUCUUAUGCCUCAACAGCAGUGUGGUGGAAGUUUGGCCUGUGUCUUUGCUUUAGAAAUCACUUGCAAUUUGUCUGACACUUAUCAUAUCGGAUUUUUGCAUUCCGUUUUACCAGUUUUUGUAAUAAAAAUUUUGACCUUUUUGUCAUCACUGUGUAUCUUCAAGUGUAUCUCCGCUUGUGUUAGGUGAUCCGUUGGCGCAUUAGUUAACAACACUUACGAAGCAGUUUCACUUGACGUGAUAAAUGAGGUCUUGCUUCUUGGUGGACAUGCCUCUGAUCUCUAGUAUGCGCAGCCUUAAAAAGCUGCUGUUUUUUGUGGUUGGGGCUGUGGGAUGACCCAGUAAGCAGUGUGACUGUCUUUGAUGCACCUUAAGAGUGCUCACAGGUCCUGUUUGGACUGAACUGGGCAUUAUAGGGAUGAGCUGUGCUGACAUUGUGAUGUUUUGGUUUAUAGCCUAGAAAUUCUUUCUGUUCUUUUCUGAUAAACAUGGGCCGAGCACAGACACCAUGUAACAGUCACUGCUCACUUUCUCUUUCAUUCUCCUGAACCCUUCAGUGGACACAUCAGCCACCACAUCUCUUAUCUGCUGACGCCUUUUUCUCUACAGAUGUUGCCUAUAGAUAACAUUUAAAGAUUUUACCUUGUUUUGUAUAAAUACUCUGUCUGUCACAGUAAAUUUGC